rnacentral:lncRNA from 10 species
GUCAGAACGGAUGAUAUGCCUGUCAUUAUGUACAGCAGGGCAUCAUGACAAAGAGAAUGGACAGCAGGAAUGCAUUCAUUUAUUUAUGUUGUGGAGAGUAGUGCAAGAGAGCCUUUGCUUAAGAGGCUAAUAGUUGACUUCCAACAUUUCAGAUGAUUAGAAUUCUGAGAAAGAUGGAGAAGGCAGAAAACACAGGACGAGCAAAGACGUGGAGACUGGAAACUGCAGUGAAUGCCAGUUUGUCAAGGAUGAAACCACAAGACACUCUGAAAUAAAAGAGGCAAGGAACAUUCAAGGAGACUGAACAGAAGAUGCCAAAAACGUAGUAAGAAAACCGUGAGCACAGAGUAGCAGAACCCAUAGAGCAGAAGUGUUUGGAAGAGGAGGUGGUGGUCCACAGCUUUUAACGGGAAUGAUCCAAGGAAAGAGAGGAAGAAAGAGUGGAGAAACAGUGCUGAAACAUGACCCAGAGCAUGGGAUUUCAAAUCAGACCAAUGGAGCUUCGCUUUUCAUUUCUCCACUUCCAACCUUUGUGAACAUCACUUAG